GCCGAGACUAGAGUCACAUCCUGACACGGUACUUGUCCUGGUGUGCUAGAGUUCUCGAAGAGAAUAUGCUGGUCUUGAUUCACCGGUAGGGGCCUUCGGUGUCCCUUCUAGUGCCCAGAUCAGAAACAUGG